ACCAUCUUAGCUCAGUGGUAGAGCGCGUGGCUUUUAACGACGUGGUCGUGGGUUCGAUCCCCAAAGAUGGUG
rfam:Ipomoea nil DNA, scaffold: scaffold3245, cultivar: Tokyo-kokei standard.